CUUUUAGCGAUGGAUAUCUUGGCUC
rnacentral:rRNA from 1 species